rnacentral:rRNA from 1 species
UACGGAGGGUGCGAGCGUUGUCCGGAAUCAUUGGGCGUAAAGGGCGCGUAGGUGGCUUCUUAAGCGUGCGGUGAAAGCCUGGGGCUCAACCCCGGGUCGGCCGUGCGAACUGGGGGGCUGGAGCACUGUAGAGGCAGGCGGAAUUCCGGGUGUAGCGGUGGAAUGCGUAGAGAUCCGGAAGAGCACCGGUGGCGAAGGCGGCCUGCUGGGCAGUUGCUGACACUGAGGCGCGACAGCGUGGGGAGCAAACAGG